UACGUAGGGUGCGAGCGUUAAUCGGAAUUACUGGGCGUAAAGCGUGCGCAGGCGGCGCGUUAAGACAGGUGUGAAAGCCCCGAGCUUGACUUGGGAAUUGCGCUUGUGACUGGCGUGCUGGAGUGUGGCAGAGGGAGGUGGAAUUCCACGUGUAGCAGUGAAAUGCGUAGAGAUGUGGAGGAAUACCGAUGGCGAAGGCAGCCCCCUGGGAUAACACUGACGCUCAUGCACGAAAGCGUGGGGAACAAACAGG
rnacentral:rRNA from 1 species